rnacentral:rRNA from 1 species
CCCUUAGAUGUCCGGGGCUGCACGCGCGCUACACUGAAUGAAUCAGCGUGCUAGAAAACCUUGUUUGACAUGGCUAGGUAACCCAUUGAAAAUCAUUCGUGAUUGGGAUCGGGACUUGCAAAUGUGUCCCUUGAACGAGGAAUUCCCAGUAAGUGCGGGUCAUCAGCUCGCGUUGAUUACGUCCCUGCCCUUUGUACACACCGCCCGUCGCUGCCCGGAACUGAGCCGUUUCGAGAAGAUUGAGGAUUGCUGACUUGAGGCCUUCACGGGCUUCUAGUCGGUGAAAAUCAAUUUAAUCGCAGCGGCUUGAACCGGGCAAAAGUCGUAACA